rnacentral:rRNA from 1 species
UACGUAGGGUGCAAGCGUUAAUCGGAAUUACUGGGCGUAAAGCGUGCGCAGGCGGUUCGCUAAGACAGAUGUGAAAUCCCCGGGCUUAACCUGGGAACUGCAUUUGUGACUGGCGGGCUAGAGUAUGGCAGAGGGGGGUAGAAUUCCACGUGUAGCAGUGAGAUGCGUAGAGAUGUGGAGGAAUACCGAUGGCGAAGGCAGCCCCCUGGGCCAAUACUGACGCUCAUGCACGAAAGCGUGGGGAGCAAACAGG